CAGCACGUUAUUUGAUAGUGCAGUGAAAACUGACAACUCAUUGUACGUUCAGCCUACAGCAUGAGGAGAAAUAGCUGGGCAAAGUAAAUCCUUUACAGAGCUGUGAUUAGAACCCUAAAAGCUUUAAUAUUAAUGAAAUAUAUAAUCAGAGCAGUGUCUAGCCUGAUUUGAUUGCCAUUUUUUUGCAUCAAAAUGUUGUGAUUUACAACCACCACCAGAUGACACUGUUCUAGAAGACUAUAACUAAGCCUCUACAGAGUCAUUGUCAGUAUUAUAAAUGUAAAACCAUACCUACAGUGGAAUUAAGACAAACAAAAGUUUCUACAUUAGCUGUAUAUCCUUCCGUGUACAAAGUAUGGGCUGCUCUAAGUAACUUGCUGGACAUCCAAUAUUAAAUUUCUUUACCACGUGGCCGACUUCAUGGUUGCUUGGCAAACAGUCUAUUUGCUGUUUAUUUGUGUAUUCGUAUAUUCACCUGUGAUGCCCAGAUAUUGGCCUGAUCUCAGCAAGGCAAAACUGAGCAAAAAGGUUCAUUAAUAGCCAUUUGAACAAAGACAGUAGUGACUUGAGGGAAAAGUCAGAUCCGUGAGUGUGUUCAAAAUGCACAAAGCUGUGAAAAGAGCAAGGAUGUUGUCUGAGAAAGAAAGCUGAAAGGUAGCCUAAAGGCUGCACAUGCUCAAAUUGACAAGACAAGAGGAAUUAAUUCACUUCAGAGUGAAGAAAAGCUGACAGGCAUUGCGGCUGUGCACCUUGGGAGGGAAGGGAACCUCUGUGCUCUAGUGGGAAAGUUGUUCAGAGAUCACAUUUCAUACCACACACCUCUCUUUCCAAGAGUACAAAGUGCAAGCUCAGGCAUUUAAGACUAGAAUCACUGUAGUAAACUGGCUCACUAGUUAAGACUGCAGGAGGAGAAAAAUUUCAUGGAUUUAUUCAGCUGAAAGACUGUAAGCCAUCUAUUUUGUGAAUGGAAAUAUAAAACAUAGAGAGAUUUAAAACUAAAGUGCAUAACAUCUAAAACCACAUCACUGGAGAUGCCACCUCCAGCAGAACUCACUGCUGCAGAAAGUCACUGAGUCAUGACAGAGUCUUAAAGAAGCGUACUGAAUGAUAUUUGCAACUAUCAAGGAACAAACCUGUAUGUAAGGAUGACGUGCUGAUGUGCUUCGUUUUUACUGUCCUGCUUGUCUGCCAAGAAAUACUGCCAAUGGAGAAUCUUGAGAUGUGAAGAACUUUGACUUGAGAAAACUGUAUUUAAAAGGAAGCAGUUACCAAACUGGUCAGAAUGGUCUAACAAUGUGAUUUUGCACUAUUUCAAAUUAAACUCAAAUUCUAAUCAUAGAAUUGUUCUCUCUCAGACUUUGCUCACUUUGUCACUUUGAUUUGUCACUCUUCUCUCACACACAUAUAGUAUUUCCCUGCUUAUUUCAAAAAGGACAGAGACAUUGGUUUUGGCUUAACAAAUACCAGGUACACGUCACAGUGUAGUUAUGUUAAAUUUUUAGUAUAAAAUAUACCCUAUUGAUUUACGUACAUAAAAUAUUCCUUAUUGAGUUUGUAAUAUCAAAUAUUACUUAUUGAAUUUUUAAUAUAAACUAUUCCUUAUUGAUGUAUCUAUUAAAAUGGAUCACUUGCUUUCUAAAUGGCACAAUACCAGUUUUCCAACUAUCCAAAAUAGACUCUGAUGCCUGUAACUGAAGUAUUACAAUGUUACAUUUACAGAGGGAGAAAAAUGCUUCAAAAAAACACUAUCACCACAAAACAGUGACAAAUCUUCACACAAUCACUUCCCUGAGGCUCUGAAAGGGGAUGGGGUGUUAACCUAAGAGUUCCAAUUAUACAGUUCAAUUCAUAUUAAAUGCAAUAUGAACUCAAACUAUUAUAUCAAGAAAUAAUAAGCUGACCUCAACUUGUCUGCCAGCCCCUGAAACUUCAUUUGGAAUAACACCCUUAGAAGAUAAGACAAAAGACAUGCUGAGUUGAUGAGGGCUGCUUCAGCAUUAAACUUACUCAGUGUCUUUGUGUCAGAGGUCAUAAUCUGAAAUUUCAGUUCUAGAAAGACACUAGCAAUUUUACAGGUUUGUUUGGUAGUACAACAUAAAGCAAACUAGCCUUACAUAAAAAGAGCAAGACAACUGUGUCAUGUAUUACUCUUUCUGGCUAAAUAAAAGGAUUUGGGGCAAUUUGAUUAUUAUUUCCAAUGCUGCCAGGUCCUUCUUAUGAAAACAGGAGCCACACUGUGAGGUUCUUAUUCUGAUUUAGCAGCAAUUUGCAUGCAAAUGAAGAAACUCAGAGUUAUGAUGUAAGUCACUCUUUAUUAAAGAAUUUACAGUACAACUUUUACUCUGUGAGUCUUUUAUAAUAAACACGUGACAAUACUUAUUCUCAGAAAUGCUACUCUGAAUUUUUUACCAGAAAUGAAGGCCAGACCUUGUGCUCUGUCAGGAGGUCCUGCUGUGGAUACUUGGGUCUGAACACACAGAACUCAUGGAAACAGAGAUGUAAUUCUAUCUCCUACCUGUAAUGACUAUAACAGAGACAUGUUAUUUAGUCUUUGAUUUGCAAGCAUAAAGUGUCAUGUACCGUUCUUCUAAGGUUCUUCUACCUUAUCCAGUUCAUACCUGUGACCAUCCAAAAUAGCAAGAAAUGUUAUUUCUACAUUAUAACCUUUGUUUAACUCAUUCUUCAAUAUAAACUGCCACAAUCCAAAACAUCAAGACAAUCUUGCAGUUAGGAGAAGAAAAAAGAAAAAGCCCUUUAUGGGCAGAAAAAGAGUUGCAAACAGUUAACAUUUCAUAAUUAUACUAUAAAUAUAUACAUAAAUACUUAGAAGGAAGGCAUAAUUUCCUUUUGGCUCUGUUCAGAUACUGUAAGAAAGAUAACUCUUACUUGCUGUCAUAAUGCAUUAACCACAAUCAUGCUAUUAUAUAAUUCUUGUUCAAAGUGUGUUAUAACAGUUUGCACUGAAAAUGUUUCAUGCAAUCUUUUCUCCUCUUCCUCCGUGUACUAAAAAGGGCUUUCUUUAAGUGAAUCCAAUUAAACACAAUAUGAAGGUUCAGACAUUUGUUAAUUUUAUUAUUCAAAAUAUUUUUUCCAGAUAUUUAAUUCUUCGUAGCCUAAUGUUCCAAACUUUUGCUAGUCCAUUAGCAACAAUACUAAGCAAGUAACAUAAUGCAGGUAAGAUCAAAUUUUGCUCUUGCCAGCCUUUGUUACAACAUUUUAAUUUCUUAUAGCUAUGAGCAAUGUCAGAAAGUGUCAUUGGGUAAUAUAUUUCCCACAAGCCAUGGGGGAAUUGGGGUCUUCUGGUGUAGUUCAUUUAGCACGUGCUCAAAGAAAAGCCACUCAGGAUGGACAGGUAUAGGGAGGUAACUGUGGACUGUUAAGAAGUAAUAAACCACUGUGAGGGAGGCCACUUCAGCUUCUACGGUGACAGUAAUCUAGAGUACACAAUGCAUACUUAUAAAAUAUUCUCUUGUUGCCAUCAGUUUACAGGAUGGCAGGAAAUUAUCGAGCCA